UAACCUGCGGAGGGAUCAUUACUGAGUUUACGCUCUACAACCCUUUGUGAACAUACCUAUAACUGUUGCUUCGGCGGGUAGGGUCUCCGCGACACUCCCGGCCUCCCGCCCCCGGGCGGGUCGGCGCCCGCCGGAGGAUAACCAAACUCUGAUGUAACGACGUUUCUUCUGAGUGGUACAAGCAAAUAAUCAAAACUUUUAACAACGGAUCUCUUGGUUCUGGCAUCGAUGAAGAACGCAGCGAAAUGCGAUAAGUAAUGUGAAUUGCAGAAUUCAGUGAAUCAUCGAAUCUUUGAACGCACAUUGCGCCCGCCAGCAUUCUGGCGGGCAUGCCUGUUCGAGCGUCAUUUCAACCCUCAAGCUCUGCUUGGUGUUGGGGCCCUACAGCUGAUGUAGGCCCUCAAAGGUAGUGGCGGACCCUCCCGGAGCCUCCUUUGCGUAGUAACUUUACGUCUCGCACUGGGAUCCGGAGGGACUCUUGCCGUAAAACCCCCAAUUCUCCAAAGGUUGACCUCGGAUCAGGUAGGAAUACCCGCUGAACUUAAGCAUAUCAAA
rnacentral:rRNA from 1 species